rnacentral:lncRNA from 1 species
GGCAAGUGUUGGAUUAUAUUUUAUCCACCUGAUGAUGUGUUCAAACCCCAAAUAUGUGGCGGACACCUACCUUCCUGAUGUAAAGAACCCAGGAUGCGAAAUCUGUGCGGUGCCAAAGUCAUUGGCUAGGGGCCGAUCAUGAGAGAUCGACCACUCGAUAGAUCCAGCAUCAUCGGCUUCCAACCGAUGAUAUCUUCUUUUUGACUCAACUCCCUACAAGCCAUCCACCAGAUCGGAUGCGCCUGGGGCACUUGGUGUGCAGGCCUCACAGGACUGACACUUUACUAUAUGCCCACUACUCCGAACGUAGACGGUAGGCUCUGUGAUAGCCUACUGACAUCCACUAUUCUAGCUCUGACAGUCAUUACUCCAACUUCAACAUAUGCAAACCACCUAAUAGACUUUUUCCUGCUAAAGGAAGGGGCCAAGAAAAAUAGGGAGAAGGGGGAACCUUUUCUCCUCCCUCCUAGGAGAAAGAGAAUGAAGGAUUCUUCUCCGACCUGAGAGAAAUUGGAAAAAAGGGAGACUUCUUCUGAACUAGAGACCGUCACUCUUACCACCUUUCUUCCAAUGUUCUCCCUCUCAAACUGUCACUAACUUAAGCAUUGGAGGAUUUUUUUACAGGAGAACCCCCACCUUGUUCUGCAGUGUGUGGAUUUUCUUUGCGGGUGAUCG